AUUGAACGCUGGCGGCAGGCUUAACACAUGCAAGUCGAGCGGAGAGAGGUAGCUUGCUACCGAUCUUAGCGGCGGACGGGUGAGUAAUGCUUAGGAAUCUGCCUAUUAGUGGGGGACAACAUUUCGAAAGGAAUGCUAAUACCGCAUACGUCCUACGGGAGAAAGCAGGGGAUCUUCGGACCUUGCGCUAAUAGAUGAGCCUAAGUCGGAUUAGCUAGUUGGUGGGGUAAAGGCCUACCAAGGCGACGAUCUGCAGCGGGUCUGAGAGGAUGGACCGCCACGAUUGGCGUGAAACCAAGCCCAGACUCCUACGGGAGGCAGCAGUGGGUAUUAUUGGAGAAUGGGCGGAAGCCUGGUCCAGCCAUGCCGGGUGUGUGAAGAAGGCCUUAUGGUGGUAAAGCACUUUAAGCGAGGGGGAGGCUACUCUAGUUAAUACCUAGAGGUAGUGGACGUUACUCGCAGAAUAAGCACCGGCUAACUCUGUGCCAGCCGCCGCCGUAACAC
rnacentral:rRNA from 1 species